CUUGUGAUCUUUCUUUUUUCUGAGAUACCACUGCAUGGAGGAGGAAUGUUGAGGACUGUUGAGGUUCCCAGCGUCUCAUGAAGAGAGAUAAACUUGUAAAUAAACAAGGAUCGUGUUGUAGAAAAGAAUUUCGUCAAGUUCUACCCACCACUACCUCCUCCCUGCCCCUCCCACCAGCCUGGCCUCAAAGUGUCUCUCAGAACAGUACAGAGGUGGACCUUCUGCAGGAAUUGUGGGAGGUAUGAGUCCUAAGGAAUAUGAAAGGCAUCGCUGGCAUUCUUAUCCAUCCCCACCCCUUGUUUGUAAGAAGCUACGAAUGCGGAUUUAGGGGAAACUUUUGCAGACACGUUUGUCCUUGCCAGAAUUAAAUUAAAGCAAUAUUAAAAAUGCCUUUGAACAUGUUGCAAAAUUUUGAAAGAAUAUUUAUAAACUGUGCUUGAGAACAGACACUCCUCUGUCGUCCCGUGAACAUCAUGCAGGAUUCAUCUGGCAACAGGACAGCUUAAAGCACACAGCACCUCUGAGAGGCUGAACCCCACCCUGCUGCCUGCCAACGGGGCCCCAUGAAAGGACCUUCAAGAAGAUGGAACUUCAAGCAGAUGGACAAGCAGGGGAGACAAGCAGAGUGCCAACAAUUGCUCCUCAAUACCACUGACUCACUCACUCCCAUAGCAAUACUUAAGUAUCAAUAUUGAGGUUGAGUAAACAUGUAAAACCUC